rnacentral:tRNA from 1 species
GGGGAGGUGGCCGAGAGGUCGAAGGCACUCGCUUGCUAAGCGAGCGUACGUUUCAUCGCGUACCGCGGGUUCGAAUCCCGCCCUCUCCG